GAGUUUGAUCGUGGCUCAGAUUGAACGCUGGCGGCAUGCCUUACACAUGCAAGUCGAACGGCAGCACGGGAGCUUGCUCCUGGUGGCGAGUGGCGAACGGGUGAGUAAUGCAUCGGAACGUAUCCUGGAGUGGGGGAUAACGUAGCGAAAGUUACGCUAAUACCGCAUAUUCUGUGAGCAGGAAAGCAGGGGACCUUCGGGCCUUGCGCUAUCAGAUGAGCCUAGGUCGGAUUAGCUAGUUGGUGGGGUAAUGGCUCACCAAGGCGACGAUCCGUAACUGGUCUGAGAGGAUGAUCAGUCACACUGGAACUGAGACACGGUCCAGACUCCUACGGGAGGCAGCAGUGGGGAAUUUUGGACAAUGGGGGCAACCCUGAUCCAGCCAUGCCGCGUGAGUGAAGAAGGCCUCGGUGUAAG
rnacentral:rRNA from 1 species